GCUGGGCGUGGUGGCACAUGCCUGUAAUCCCAGCUACUUGGGAGGCUGAGGCAGGAGAAUUGCUUGAACCCAGGAAGCAGAGGUUGCAGUGAGCCAAGAUCGUGCCACUGCACUCCAGCCUGGGUGACAGAGCGAGACUCUGUCUCAG
ensembl:misc_RNA Metazoa_SRP Metazoan signal recognition particle RNA